GCUUUCCUCUCUCCGCACAGCGAUCGCCCCCCUCCUUCAGGGCCUCCAUCUCUGGCCGCGCCGCCCUGCUCGCCUCCCCCGCCCCCCUCCUCGCCUUCCCUGCCCCGAAGCAACUGCGACGCUGUGGAGCCGCGGCCGAGGUGGCGUGCAGGUGCUGCUUGUAGCGUCCAUGCGCAGCGGCCGGCGCGGCGCCUGGCCAUAGAGGGUUGGGCGACGCCAGAUCCAGCCGCGGCAGAGGCCUAAGUCCAGCCGGCGCGAUGGAGCCUGGAGACCAUGGACGAAGUGGCGUACGUGCGCGCGAAGUCCAAACAACAGGUUAAAUUUUCCAUGGAUCCUACCCACAAGGCAGCGCAAUACGCUUGCUCUGAUCUGCUCAAGUGUGGUCAGUGGCAAAUGAGGCAGAAACUCAAGGACUACUUUGAUGGUGUACCAGCAAACAAAGUAAGAACAACACCACCAAUGAAGAGUAUUCAGUAAUGAACAAUGAAAAGCACUAGCUGAGAUGUGGUCGAGCCCGAAGCAUAAGGAGAAGUGCCUGAAGGCUAAAGUGAAUCGUGGGAAAGUCAAGUAUGCUCACAAGACAGGCUCCUGGUGCUACAUUGCGCAGACUGAGUGGUAAUUUGCAAUUAUCUAUGUGACCAUGAUGUAAUUCUUAUGGAACUUGUGACUUCUGUUGGUGAAUUGAUGAAUCUGUUGACCUUUGUGUAAUUUUUCUGAACCUGUGACUUCUGUUGGUGAAUUGAUGAAUCUGUUGACCUUUGUGUAAUUUUUCUGAACCUGUGACUUCUGCUGGUCAAGAGAUGAAUCUGGGAAGAGAGAAUAUAGUCAUAAAUGUUGUGGGCUU